rnacentral:rRNA from 1 species
GUAGUCCACGCUGUAAACGAUGAAUACUAGGUGUGGGGGGACUGACCCCUUCCGUGCCGCAGUUAACACAAUAAGUAUUCCACCUGGGGAGUACGGCCGCAAGGCUGAAACUCAAAGGAAUUGACGGGGGCCCGCACAAGCAGUGGAUUAUGUGGUUUAAUUCGAAGCAACGCGAAGAACCUUACCAGGGUUUGACAUGGAGACGACCGGUUCAGAGAUGAGCCUUUCCUUCGGGACGUCUCACACAGGUGGUGCAUGGUUGUCGUCAGCUCGUGUCGUGAGAUGUUGGGUUAAGUCCCGCAACGAGCGCAACCCCUAUUGUUAGUUGCUACGCAAGAGCACUCUAGCGAGACUGCCGUUGACAAAACGGA